rnacentral:rRNA from 1 species
GACAGAGGGGGCAAGCGUUGCUCGGAAUUACUGGGCGUAAAGGGCGCGUAGGCGGGAUGGCAAGUCGGUCGUGAAAUCCCUGGGCUCAACUCAGGGGGGUCGGCCGAUACUGCCGUUCUUGAGGGAUGCAGAGGAGACUGGAAUUCCCGGUGUAGCGGUGAAAUGUGUAGAGAUCGGGAGGAACACCAAUGGCGAAGGCAGUCCGCUGGGCCGUUGCUGACGCUGAGGCGCGACAGCGUGGGGAGCAAACAGG